rnacentral:tRNA from 1 species
GGUUAGCUUAGUUGGUAGUGCAUCUGCCUUGUAAGCGCUAGGCCGCGGGUUCGAUUCCCGCCCG